rnacentral:rRNA from 1 species
CCUACGGGUGGCUGCAGUAGGGAAUCUUCCACAAUGGACGAAAGUCUGAUGGAGCAACGCCGCGUGAGUGAAGAAGGGUUUCGGCUCGUAAAGCUCGGUUGGUAGUGAAGAAAGAUAGAGGUAGUAACUGGCCUUUAGUUGACGGUAAGUACGGAGAAAGGCACGGCGAACUACGUGCCAGCAGCCGCGGUAAUACGUAGGUGGCAAGCGUUGUACGGAUUUAUUGGGCGUAAAGCGAGUGCAGGCGGUUCAAUAAGUCUGAGGUGAAAGCCUUCGGCGCAACCGGAGAAUUGCCUCCGAAACUGUUGCACUUGAGUGCAGACGUGGAGAGUGGACCUCCAUGUGUAGCGGU